rnacentral:rRNA from 1 species
GAUGAACGCUGGCGGCGUGCCUAAUACAUGCAAGUCGAGCGAACGGACUAGAAGCUUGCUUCUCUGAUGUUAGCGGCGGACGGGUGAGUAACACGUGGAUAACCUACCUAUAAGACUGGGAUAACUUCGGGAAACCGUAGCUAAUACCGGAUAAUAUUUUGAACCGCAUGGUUCAAAAUUGAAAGACGGUCUUGCUGUCACUUAUAGAUGGAUCCGCGCUGCAUUAGCUAGUUGGUAAGGUAACGGCUUACCAAGGCAACGAUGCAUAGCCGACCUGAGAGGGUGAUCGGCCACACUGGAACUGAGACACGGUCCAGACUCCUACGGGAGGCAGCAGUAGGGAAUCUUCCGCAAUGGGCGAAAGCCUGACGGAGCAACGCCGCGUGAGUGAUGAAGGUCUUCGGAUCGUAAAACUCUGCUAUUAGGGAAGAACAUAUGUGUAAGUAACUGUGCACAUCUUGACGGUACCUAAUCAGAAAGCCACGGCUAACUACGUG